GCCCCAGUAGCUUAGUGGUAGAGUACCUGACUUGUAAUCAGGAGGUCGGGAGUUCAAAUCUCCCCUGGGGCU
rnacentral:tRNA from 1 species